UCAAGCUAAGAAGAGCGCAGGGCGAAUGCCUUGGCACUGGGAGCCGAAGAAGGACGCGAUAAGCUGCGAUAAGCUGCGGGGAGGAGCAAAUAUCCAUUGAUCCGCAGAUUUCCGAAUGGAGAAAUCCGUAUGGAGAAGUCCAUACAUCAUAUACUGAAUUCAUAGGUAUAUGAGGGAAACCGCCUGAACUGAAACAUCUAAGUAGGGCGAGGAAAAGAAAUCAACCGAGAUACCGCAAGUAGUGGCGAGCGAACGCGGCAGAGGCCAAACCCGUAGUAGAAAUACUAUGGGGGUUGCGGACUGCAUUUAGCAUUGUUGAUCUUUAACCGAAGGGCAUGGGAAGGCCCACCGAAGAACGUGAGAGUCGUGUAGGUGAAAAGGAGAGACAGCGAGCAGGAUCCAGAGUACCGCGGGACACGAGGAAUCCCGUGGGAAGCCGGGGGGACCACCCUCCAAGCCUAAAUACUACCCAGUGACCGAUAGCGUAUAGUACUGUGAAGGAAAGGUGAAAAGGACCCCGGGAGGGGAGUGAAAUAGAACCUGAAACCCUGUGCUUACAAGCACCGAGAGCCCGUCAAUGGGUGAUCGGGUACUUUUUGUAGAACGGUCCGGCGAGUAUAUGGAACAAGCAAGGUUAAGGUCUUCAGGACCGAAGCCGAAGGGAAACCAAGUCUUAAUAGGGCGCACAGUUUGUUUCAUAUGACCCGAAACCGGGUGACCUAUCCAUGUCCAGGUUGAAGUGGCGGUAAAACGCCAUGGAGGACCGAACCAACCCCCGUUGAAAAGGUGGUGGAUGAGGUGUGGAUAGCGGAGAAAUUCCAAUCGAACUCGGAUAUAGCUGGUUCUCCCCGAAAUAGCUUUAGGGCUAGCGUUGUGUUAGAUUACCGGAGGUAAAGCACUGAAUAGGCUAGGGGGCGAGAGUCUACCGACCCUUAUCAAACUCUGAAUGCCGGAUAAUUGAUGCACAGCAGUCAGACAGUGUGAGAUAAGUUUCAUUGUCAAAAGGGAAACAGCCCAGACCCACAGCUAAGGUCCCAAAUGUAUGUUAAGUGGAAAAGGAUGUCCAGUUGCACAAACAACCAGGAUGUUGGCUUAGAAGCAGCCACACAUUCAAAGAGUGCGUAACAGCUCACUGGUCGAGUGACCGGGCGCCGAAAAUGUAACGGGGCUAAACAUACAACCGAAGCUUGGGCUGCACAGCAAUGUGCGGGGUAGGGGAGCGUUGUGUGCGGGGAGAAGCACGAGCGGAAGCGCGUGUGGACUGCACAGAAGUGAGAAUGCCGGAAUGAGUAGCGCGAAUUAUGUGAGAAUCAUAAUGGCCGAAAGCCUAAGGUUUCUGGAGGAAGGUUCGUCCGCUCCAGGUUAGCCGGGAGCUAAGGUGAGGCCGAAAGGCGUAGCCGAUGCACAUACGGUGGAGAUUCCGUAGCCAUCAAAAGAUUUAAGCAGAGGGACACAGUAGAAGGGUACAUGCCGGGCGUUGGUAGCCCCGGUUGCAAGGGACCGAAAUUAGAGUAGGGAAGAUGGACUUGGAUACUGGCGAGAAAAGCUCUGUGGAUAUCUGCGAUGCCCGUACCGCAAACCGACACAGGUAGGUAGGAAGAGGAUUCUAAGGCCAACGGGAGAAGGGUUGUUAAGGAACUCGGCAAGUUGACCCCGUAACUUCGGGAGAAGGGGUGCUCUGGAAACAGAGCCGCAGAGAAUAGGUCCAGGCAACUGUUUAGCAAAAACACAGCUCUCUGCUAAAUCGAAAGAUGAUGUAUAGGGGGUGACGCCUGCCCGGUGCUGGAAGGUUAAGAGGAGGAGUGAGAGCCCCGAAUCGAAGCCCCAGUAAACGGCGGCCGUAACUAUAACGGUCCUAAGGUAGCGAAAUUCCUUGUCAGGUAAG
rnacentral:rRNA from 1 species